AGAGUUUGAUCCUGGCUCAGAGCGAACGCUGGCGGCGGGCUUAACACAUGCAAGUCGAGCGGGCGUAGCAAUACGUCAGCGGCAGACGGGUGAGUAACGCGUGGGAACGUACCUUUUGGUUCGGAACAACACAGGGAAACUUGUGCUAAUACCGAAUAAGCCCUUACGGGGAAAGAUUUAUCGCCGAAAGAUCGGCCCGCGUCUGAUUAGCUAGUUGGUGAGGUAAUGGCUCACCAAGGCGACGAUCAGUAGCUGGUCUGAGAGGAUGAUCAGCCACAUUGGGACUGAGACACGGCCCAAACUCCUACGGGAGGCAGCAGUGGGGAAUAUUGGACAAUGGGCGCAAGCCUGAUCCAGCCAUGCCGCGUGAGUGAUGAAGGCCCUAGGGUUGUAAAGCUCUUUUGUGCGGGAAGAUAAUGACGGUACCGCAAGAAUAAGCCCCGGCUAACUUCGUGCCAGCAGCCGCGGUAAUACGAAGGGGGCUAGCGUUGCUCGGAAUCACUGGGCGUAAAGGGUGCGUAGGCGGGUCUUUAAGUCAGGGGUGAAAUCCUGGAGCUCAACUCCAGAACUGCCUUUGAUACUGAGGAUCUUGAGUUCGGGAGAGGUGAGUGGAACUGCGAGUGUAGAGGUGAAAUUCGUAGAUAUUCGCAAGAACACCAGUGGCGAAGGCGGCUCACUGGCCCGAUACUGACGCUGAGGCACGAAAGCGUGGGGAGCAAACAGGAUUAGAUACCCUAGUAGUCC
rnacentral:rRNA from 1 species